CACGUAGGGCGCAAGCGUUGUCCGGAAUUAUUGGGCGUAAAGAGCUCGUAGGCGGUCUGUUGCGUCCGCUGUGAAAACUCGGGGCUUAACCCCGAGCCUGCAGUGGAUACGGGCAGACUAGAGGUAGGUAGGGGAGAAUGGAAUUCCCGGUGUAGCGGUGAAAUGCGCAGAUAUCGGGAGGAACACCGGUGGCGAAGGCGGUUCUCUGGGCCUUACCUGACGCUCAGCCACGAAAGCAUGGGGAGCGAACGGG
rnacentral:rRNA from 1 species